AACGAACGCUGGCGGCAGGCCUAACACAUGCAGGUCGAGCGCCCCGCAAGGGGAGCGGCGGACGGGUGAGUAACGCGUGGGAACGUACCCUUUGCUACGGAAUAGCCUCGGGAAACUGGGAGUAAUACCGUAUGUGCCCUUCGGGGGAAAGAUUUAUCGGCAAAGGAAUCGGCCCGCGUUGGAUUAGGUAGUUGGUGGGGUAAUGGCCUACCAAGCCGACGAUCCAUAGCUGGUUUGAGAGGAUGAUCAGCCACACGGGGACUGAGACACGGCCCAGCCUCCUGCGGAGGGCGGAAGUGGGGAAUAUGAGACAAGGGGCGAAGCCCUGUCCAAGCCGUCCGGCGUGGGCGAUGAAGGCUUUAGGUUUGGAAAGCUUUUUCCGGGGGGAAAAUAAUGCCUGUACCAACAGAAGAAGCCCCGGCUAACUCCGUGCCACCCCCCGCCGUAA
rnacentral:rRNA from 1 species